AUUGAACGCUGGCGGCACGCCUAACACAUGCAAGUCGAGCGGCAGCAUGGGAUGUAGCAAUACAUUCUGAUGGCGAGCGGCGGACGGGUGAGGAACACGUAGGAACCUGCCCUCAAGCGGGGGACAACCAGGGGAAACCUUGGCUAAUACCGCAUGAGACCGAGAGGUUAAAGCUGCCCGCAAGGGUGGCACUUGAGGAGGGGCCUGCGUCCGAUUAGCUGGCUGGUGAGGUAAUGGCUCACCAGGGCGAUGAUCGGUAACUGGUCUGAGAGGACGGCCAGUCACACUGGGACUGAGACACGGCCCAGACUCCUACGGGAGGCUG
rnacentral:rRNA from 1 species